rnacentral:lncRNA from 1 species
CUCACUUCCGGCGGCGCGGGGCGCGGCGGAGUGGACCGUACCAAGUUCUCUUUGCGCGCUCCGAUCUCGCCUGCGCUUCUGGGGCCCGUGCGCGAGCAACCGGAACGAGCGAGAGCUGUGACGUGUGGUCGCGACCAGGAGAGCAGCGGGAAAGGGCUGAAGCCCGCCACUUGCUAGUCGCCGUUGUAGAAUCACCACCCUAAACUCCUCCAAGACUCCGGCUCUCAAUGUGCCUGGAAGAUGGGGCGUUCCGCGGGCCGAGCCAUUUGGACGGGGGGCAGGAGCGAGCAAGGGCCAGACUUUAUGUCAGGCAUGAAAGAAAUAAAAUGUGUAAGCGCCUCAUUCCAGGGAUAGCUACGACACGGUAAGAAGUUAAGUGCUUCUCGGAAAAAAAUAGCGGUGCAGAAAACAGAUAUAGGUCUUCCCAGGUUACCUCCCCCCAACGCAGGUUGUGUAGGAGUGAGUUUGUUCCCGUGGCUACCGCCGAUUGGUUGCGAUAAAGUUACGCGGACCAAUGAGAAAAGAAAGGAAAAAUUUCUGGCCUAUAGGGAAAGAAAAGCAGGUGAGUGGUUGCUAGGGUCUGUAGGCAGAGUGGCCCCGGACUGGGUGCCAAGGCAGCUGGAUGCCAGCUGAGAAAGCGCAGUCCAUAGGCCGGGGAUCCCUAUCCCGCCUGGGGGGAUGCUUACGGGGCCCGCAAAAGGAGCAGUGCUUGCGUGUCCGGACUGACAUAAAACAGAACGCCAGUUAUUUCUAGGUUGGGGUGGAGAGUUCUGUGCGAAGGCGUUGACUUUUCAACACCCCAAAAGCUCAGUCGGCGUGCGUGUUCAUCCCUGGGAGAUAGCCAGACCCUUUGUUCUGAGCUGAUUCUGUCUGUUAGGGCUCACACAAGCAGUAUAGUCGCGUACAGAAUGGAAACUGAAAGCGGACACCUCAUUACCCAGGUUUAUCAGCUAGAGGGUGCUCCUCCCAUUUUUAACUCGGACUCACUCGGAAUUCAGAGGCCUAAGGGGGGGGGGGAUCAAAUAUAAGAAUUCAUGAAGAUCAACUGGAGGAAUUUAUACUGUGGGAGUCACAACACGGACAGUGAAUACAGAACCGGAGGUGACUGUGUUGUUAAAAUAUAACACAGGGGCUUUCAGAAUUGUCAUUACUGAUAGAGCACUUAAGAAAAAUACAUAAAAUGGCUUUCCUUCAGUACAACGGAAUUAAACAUCUUGUCUGUCAAAAAA